rnacentral:sRNA from 1 species
GCUGGGUGUGGUGGUGCACACCUGUAAUCCCAGGGGCUCCAAGAGGAGGCUGAGACAGGAGUAUCUUGAGUUCAAAGCCAGCCUCAACAAUGGUGGGCUGCUAAGCAACUCAGUGAGACCCUGUCUCUA